ACGGGAGGCAGCAGUGGGGAAUAUUGGGCAAUGGGCGAAAGCCUGACCCAGUAACGCCGCGUGAAGGAAGAAGGUCUUCGGAUUGUAAACUUCUUUUAUGAGGGACGAAGGACGUGACGGUACCUCAUGAAUAAGCCACGGCUAACUACGUGCCAGCAGCCGCGGUAAUACGUAGGUGGCGAGCGUUAUCCGGAUUUACUGGGUGUAAAGGGCGCGUAGGCGGGGAUGCAGGUCAGAUGUGAAAUCUAUGGGCUUAACCCAUAAACUGCGUUUGAAACUGUAUUUCUUGAGUGCUGGAGAGGUAGAUGGAAUUCCUUGUGUAGCGGUGAAAUGCGUAGAUAUAAGGAAGAACACCAGUGGCGAAGGCGAUCUACUGGACAGUAACUGACGCUGAGGCACGAAAGCGUGGGGAGCAAACAGGAUUAGAUACCCGGUA
rnacentral:rRNA from 1 species